GGAGGAUGAGCAAGAAUAAGAAUUUCCGGAAGCGUGGCGAUGGCGAAGCAGGCGACGAUGAUCCGGUCGACCAGAAGCUCCUCAAGGAGAAGAUUCCGGCGUCCAAGCCUGGGAGGAAGCAGCUGCUGAGCUUUGCGGAGGAGGCGGCGGAGGAGGCCGAUGAUCCAUCGCCCGGCAUCGCGGCCACGGCAGGGAAGAGGAAUGCUGUGAGAGGUAAGCCUCCCAGGAAGCCCGCUUCCUCCUCUACAUUGCUGAGCUUCGAUGGGGAGGAUGGAAAUUCAUCUCGGGGCCGCAAGAGAUCAGGGUAUGGGCCUAGCCAUGGCUCGGGGCACGCAAUGGGGGCGGGCAAGGAUAAAGCUCAAGCCGUGUCCAAUGUUUUGCCUCAAGCUGGGGAGUACACUCCCGAGAGGCUCCAGGAGCUCCAGAAGAACACGAUCCGGCUGGGUGGUGCCAAGCCGGUUUUGCCUGUGGAAUCGAAGCCUCCUCCGGCCGAGCCUCUCGUGAUCCUCAAGGGAGUUUUGAAGCCUGUCCUUCACGAAGAUGGUGAGAGUAGCGUACUUGUGAGUAGCAGCAACGAGUUGCCGGUGGUUCCGCCAGAGGAUGGUGUGGAUGCCGUGAUGGAAGCUGCUUUCGGUGGUGUUAACGGGCUGAUUCCUGACGCUGCUGCCAUCGCCGCGGCCAAGGCACAGCGGGAACGGAAGAGGAUUGCUCACAGUGCUCCGGAUUAUAUCCCUGUUGGAUCGUCCAGCGAUGCCGACUUUCGGUCGAGGAUUCGUGACGCUCCGGAGGUGGUGUCGAAGAAAGACGAGCCUGUUUCUAGCGACGACGAGGCCGAGGAAGUUCGAGGGAGGCUCACUUUUAUUGGCCACAAGGACAAUGGAAAGAAAGCUGGCGUGUUUGAUUUCGUCGAGAACGUCGAAGAAGAAGACGAGGAGAAGAUGUGGGAGGAAGAGCAGCUGAAGAAAGGGGUUGGGAAGAGAGUUGAGGAUCCUUCCAGCAGAGGUGUUCCACUCUUGCCCGGUGGUGCUUAUGGUCAGGUUCCAAGCAGGCCGCUUGUAGCGCAUCCGACGUUUACAUUGGAUCAGCAGGCAGAGUCAGCCAUGCUCGCCUUGCAGCAAGGCUUAAAGCGGCUACAGGAAUCUCACGCAAAGACGCAGUCCGAUCUUUACUCGGUGGAACAGAACUUAACUUCUUCUGCUGCUAGUAUCACGAUGCUAGAAGAAAAGUUCUCGUCGGCUGGGAAGAAGUACAUCUACAUGCAACAACUGAGAGACUUUGUGUCAACACUAUGCGCGUUUUUACAGGCCAAGAGUCCGUUGAUUGAAGAACUUGAGGAGCACAUGCAAAAGCUUCAUGAGGAACGUGCGGAUGCAGUAUUUCAACGACGGAUACUGGAUGGUGCUGAUGAGAAAGUGCAACUUGACUCGGCUAUUGAAGCGGCUAUGGCUGUCUUGACCCGAGGUGGCAGCAUACAGACAGCGUCGGCUCAUGCCUCCUCUGCUACGCAGGCCGCUGCGGCUGCAGCUUUAAAUGACAUUGCUCCGGAACUGGACGAGUUUGGAAGGGACACGAGCCUCCAAAAGCGCAUGGAAAUGAAGUCGAGAGCCAGUGCAAGGAAGCGCCGGAUAUCUCGGGUUCUUGCCAAGACCUCCUCAGAGGAGUGUUCCAGUGACGAGAGCGACAACGAAAUGGCUUUCGGUUCUGGUCGGGAUGAAACUUUGGAGACUGCGGAGAGAAUUUUCAGCGACGCGUCUGAAGAAUACUCCCAACUCGAGAUGGUAAAGAACAGGCUGACAGAGUGGCAUCGAGAGUAUCCAGCGGCCUACACGGAUGCUUAUGUCUCGCUCAGUGCUCCUGCCAUAUUUGCACCGUUUGUUCGACUGGAGCUUCUCAAAUGGGAUCCUCUUCGUGACAGUGCAGGAUUUGAGAGUAUGAAAUGGCAUUCUCUCCUUUGCGAGUACGAUGACUCCGACUUGGUGCCAAGUUUGGUAGAGAGGGUGGCGCUCCCAUUAUUGCAUCAUUACAUUGGACACUGCUGGGACCGAUUGAGUACGACUCAAACAAGAAACGCCGUUGCUGCCGUCCAGGAGAUUUCGGUGUACGUGCCAGCAACCAGCGACGCUUUCAUUGAUUUGGUCGCACUAGUCCGAAGCAGGAUUGCAGCAGCUGUCUCCGAAGUGGAGGUUCCUACUUGGAGUGCUCAACUUACAACGGCCGUGGAACAGGCUGCCGAGAUUGCGGAGUAUCGGUUCAGGCUUUCUAUCAAACUGCUACGGAACAUCGGACUUUGGAAGAAUGUUUUGUCCCUGUCUAAGCUGAACCAGCUGGGACUAGAGGAGCUCUUGAACGGAAGAAUUCUUCCACACCUCCGCGUGCUUGCGCCUGAAGACGCUGUCGCGAGAACCGAGACGGUGCUUGUGGCUCUACACGGUACGUGGAUCAGCAGUGGCGUUAAAGACAUGUGUCCUGAGCUUGGUGCGUUUAUCCAGCACGUAAUUAGCCUGGGACGGACGCUGGAGAAGCUGAAGAAGCGCGAUGUGGCGGCCCUCGCUCAGGCCGUCCGGAAGAUGCUACUCUCUCUAAACCAGCACGAGAAGGCCCGAGAACUUGCGAGAGUUUUCCAGCUCAAGGAGCCCGCUGUGUAAGCUUUUGGUUUGCAGAAGCUGAUACAGAGCUUGGAUAGAGAUCGAUACCCAAGCUCUUGUGUAAAUCUCGUCAGUUCUUCGUGGGCCGAAGGGAAACAAUGCUCGCCUCGAUCGACGCGAUAGCGUGAAACAAAGUAAUGCGUCAGACGACAACGAUGCUGGAUCCAACGGCUGUGCGAGGGCCACGUGCUGGCGUGACUAGAUUCUGAUGCUUUGGAUCUGCGGCUGGCAAUUUUUUGCUGGGAGACCAUUUUGUUUGUUUUUGUUUUUAGAUCCUCUCGGCCACUGCUUCGCGCAGGAAAGGAAAAAAAGGAAAAGGGAAAGAAGGGUC